rnacentral:misc_RNA from 1 species
GAUGAAGAACGUAGUGAAAUGCGAUAAGUAAUGUGAAUUGCAGAAUUCAGUGAAUCAUCGAAUCUUUGAACGCACAUUGCGCCCGUCAGUAUUCUGGCGGGCAUGCCUGUCCGAGCGUCAUUACGCCCCUCAAGUCCCCUGUGGACUUGGUGUUGGGGAUCGGCGAGGCUGGUUUUCCAGCACAGCCGUCCCUUAAAUUAAUUGGCGGUCUCGCCGUGGCCCUCCUCUGCGCAGUAGUAAAACACUCGCAACAGGAGCCCGGCGCGGUCCACUGCCGUAAAACCCCCCAACUUUUUAUAGUUGACCUCGAAUCAGGUAGGACUACCCGCUGAACUUAAGCAUAUCAAUAAGCGGAGGA